rnacentral:rRNA from 1 species
AUGGCAUUUUUUUAUCUUUUAUUUGUCAUGGCAAUUUUACAUUUUUUCAUGCCUAAAUUACCUAUAUCUACAUGGAAAAUAUUUAACUAUUAUUGCCAUGGCAAUUUUCACUCUUUUUUUUGCCAUGGAACAUUCACAUUUAUUUGCGAUGGCAAAAUUACCAAUAUUGCCAUGGAAAAUUUACUUAAACCACCUUGGCAAUUUUUAAAUUUUAUUGCCAUGGCAUUUUUUACUCUUUAUUUUUGCCAUGGCAAUUUAUAUUUAUUUUCCAUGGCUAAAUUAUCUAUAUCAACAUGGCAACAUGGAAAUUUUCACUUUCAUCUUUUUUCAAGGGAUUUUUACGUACAGUGCAAGUUGCCAUGA